GAUGAACGCUGGCGGCGUGCUUAAUACAUGCAAGUCGAACGGACGGGCCCUACGCUUGUGGGUCUCACGUUAGCCGAACGCGUGAGUAACACGCGUGUAUCCUCCACUUAUCAUUGUGGUAACUCUAGGAGACUGCGGAUAUUACCCCGGAGGAUCUUUUGCUCCGCGGUGUUCGUUAGAAAGAUUCGGCGGUUGGGGAUGGACUCGCGGCUUCUCAGCUUGUUGGGCGGGUAGGGGCUUACCAAGGCUUUGACGGGUAGCCGGCCUGAGAGGGUGACCGGCCACAUUGGGACUGAGAUACGGCCCAGACUCCUACGGGAGGCAGCAGUGGGGAAUAUUGCACAAUGGGCGGAAGCCUGAUGCAGCAACGCCGCGUGCGGGAUGACGGCCUUCGGGUUGUAAACCGCUUUCGCCUGUGACGAAGCGUGAGUGACGGUAAUGGGUAAAGAAGCACCGGCUAACUACGUG
rnacentral:rRNA from 1 species